UUCGUGUUAUGCAUUUUCUCCUGC
rnacentral:siRNA from 1 species